rnacentral:rRNA from 1 species
UACGGAGGGUGCAAGCGUUGCUCGGAAUUAUUGGGCGUAAAGGGCUCGUAGGCGGUUUGUCGCGUCGGGAGUGAAAACGCCGUGCUUAACACGGCGCUUGCUUUCGAUACGGGCAGACUAGAGGUAUUCAGGGGAGAACGGAAUUCCUGGUGUAGCGGUGAAAUGCGCAGAUAUCAGGAGGAACACCGGUGGCGAAGGCGGUUCUCUGGGAAUGACCUGACGCUGAGGAGCGAAAGCGUGGGGAGCGAACAGG